rnacentral:lncRNA from 10 species
AGCCAGGAUUCCCCCAGUUGGACUCUCACAUACCUGUGGACCUCAAGUGCUCCUUCAUAUGUGUUUUCAAUGAACUUCAUCCAAACCACAUCAAAUGGCUGUGUAUAACACUAAGGAAAUGUCAUAUUGUCUCCUAGUCCUCUACCAUGUCUUUUACACACACUGAAGAUCAUGUGAAGAAAGAGAGAAGAUGGUCAUCUAUACACCAAGUUAAACGACCCUCAGAAGAAACCAACCCUAUGGACAACUUGAUCUUGAACUUCUAGCUUUCAGACCUGUGAGAAAAUAAAUUGCUGUUGUUUAAAUUUAAAAAAACAGUCUUUUAAAUCAUGUAUGAAACAAAGUGUUGUUACAAACCAUUGUUAUAAUAGUACUAGCUUUUGUAAUUGCCUAUUUGUCCAUCUUUACUGAGAUCUUUAUUUCUUCAUAUGGCUUUGAGUUACUGAGU